rnacentral:lncRNA from 1 species
UACCUCGACAUACGAGCUGGGUCUCAGCAUCGUUACCCGAUCACAGAUAUUGGCACGAAGGCCUUUUAAAAAUUUCCUACCUUUACAACUUUUGGUGGUGACCAUUAGAGGGGCAAACUUAGAUAGUUGGACAAAUCGGACUGCAUACUAGGUAACUGUUAGAUUUCCUUAGUGGAGGUCCUGAAAUUCCUCUUCCUUCUUUUCUUAGACAUAGGCUGGGAAAAAAGUUAUCAAAAAACAUGUCCAUGAAAACUUCCCAAGUGGUAGGGGUAGGUAGGAC